CAGGAUGAACGCUAGCUACAGGCUUAACACAUGCAAGUCGAGGGGCAGCGAGAGGAAGCUGCUUCCUGUCGGCGACCGGCGCACGGGUGAGUAACGCGUAUCCAACCUUCCCCAUAGUAGAGGAUAGCCCGGCGAAAGUCGGACUAAUACUCUAUGUUGUGUCAUGGGGACAUCUGAAUAACACUAAAGAUUUAUCGCUAUGGGAUGGGGAUGCGUCUGAUUAGCUUGUCGGCGGGGUAACGGCCCACCGAGGCGACGAUCAGUAGGGGUUCUGAGAGGAAGGUCCCCCACAUUGGUACUGAGACACGGACCAAACUCCUACGGGAGGCAGCAGUGAGGAAUAUUGGUCAAUGGACGAGAGUCUGAACCAGCCAAGUAGCGUGCAAGGAUGACUGCCCUAUGGGUUGUAAACUGCUUUUAUGCGGGAAUAAAGUCAGGUACGUGUACCUGUUUGUAUGUACCGCAUGAAUAAGGACCGGCUAAUUCCGUGCCAGCAGCGGC
rnacentral:rRNA from 1 species